CACGUAGUUAGCCGGGGCUUUUUACUCAGGUACCGUCAUUUUUCUUCCCUGCUGAUAGAGCUUUACAUCACGAAUGACUUCUUCACUCACGCGGCGUUGCUGCAUCAGGGUUUCCCCCAUUGUGCAAUAUUCCCCACUGCUGCCUCCCGUAGGAGUUUGGGCCGUGUCUCAGUCCCAAUGUGGCCGUUCACCCUCUCAGGCCGGCUACUGAUCGUCGCCUUGGUGGCUUCUACCCCCGCCAACCAGCUAAUCAGACGCGGAUCCAUCUUACACCACCGGAGUUUUUCACACUGAGCCAUGCGGCUCUGUGCGCUUAUGCGGUAUUAGCACCUAUUUCUAAGUGUUACUCCCCCAGUCGCGAAGGCUAGGUUACUCCCACGGUCGUUUACUCCACCCCGUUCCCGCCCAACUAAGUUACGAAUCUACUAGGUUCAGUCGUAACUCCGUUCGACUUGCAUGUGUUGGCACGCCGCCAGCCGUUCACUCCUGACGCCAGGAUACCAAAACUCUCUCG
rnacentral:rRNA from 1 species